CCCCGCCUCAGAAGGCGGUGGGUGAGGCUCCUGAAGGGGAGGUGGCGGCGGUGGCGGCGGCGGCGGCGGCAGCAGCAGCAGCGGCGGCGGGGGCGGCACCGCGCGGCUGGCAGGGACAAACAUGGCAGCGAGGCGGAUGGCUCAGGAAUCUUUGGAUGCCGUAUUACAGGAGAAGUCUAAACGGUACGGGGACUCUGGUGGUGAGGCUGUCAACGAAGCUCUUCAGUUUAAAGCUCAAGAUCUUUUAAGAACAGGCCCAAGAGCCAGAGCUGACAUCUAUGAGGACAUUCACAGAGAUGGCAGGUAUUCCACCAGUGGAUCUGGAGUGUACUCUCGAGACCCCACGAGAGAGGGCCUGAGAGGCGACGUAUUUGCAGGGCCCUCCUUCAGACCCAGCAACCCAUCUGUCAGUCAGGACAUCUUUCUUCGAAAAGAAUGUGGCCAUGAUCUGGAAUCAGCCCACACUGACUCCCGGGACCAGGGCUUUGGCCACCAGAAAUUGGGACAUUUCGCUUCUCAGGACUGGAAGCUUGCACUCCGUGGCUCUUGGGAGCAAGACUUGGGCCACCCAGUUUCUCAAGAAUCCUCGUGGUCACAGGACUAUGGCUUUGGAUCUUCUGUGUUGGGAGACUUGGCCUCCUCCAGGCGGAUGGACAAGGAGAGUCGGGAUUAUGACCCGGAUCACCCGGGGAAGGUUGACUCAGUGCCCAGGGGGAGUGGGCAGGUCUUAGCUAGAGGCCACAGUCUCAACAUCACCGACCAGGAAGGCGCCCUCUUAGGACAAGGGGACAUUCAGGGCCUGCUCUCAGCAAAGGGGGGUGUCGGGAAGCUUGUCACACUGAAGAGCAUGACCACAAAGAAAGCACCUGUCAUCAGUCAGGUUAUUUCCAAACCUCAGGGCACUAACCAAAUCCAGAAAACCACCCCGAGUCCUGAUGUGACCCUGGGGACAAACCUAGGACUGGACAACAUCCAGUUCCCAACUCUGAAGAUUCCCUUGGGGCUGGACCUGAGGAACCUCAGCUUCCCCACAAGGAAGCUGGGCUUUGACAACGUGGACAAGGCAGAUGUGUUCUCAAGGUUUGGCAUCGAGAUCAUCAAGUGGGCGGGGUUCCACACCAUCAAGGAUGACCUCAAAUUCUCCCAGCUCUUCCAGACCCUCUUUGAACUGGAAACCGAGACCUGUGCUAAGAUGCUGGCCUCCUUCAAGUGCUCCUUGAAACCAGAGCACAGAGAUUUCUGCUUUUUUACUAUCAAAUUUUUAAAGCACUCUGCUCUGAAAACACCUCGAGUCGAUAAUGAGUUUUUAAACAUGCUUUUAGACAAAGGUGCUGUGAAGACCAAAAAUUGUUUUUUCGAGAUCAUCAAGCCCUUCGACAAGUACAUCAUGCGGCUGCAGGACCGCCUUCUGAAGAGCGUCACACCCCUGCUCAUGGCCUGCAACGCAUAUGAGCUGAGCGUGAAGAUGAAGACCCUCACCAGUCCACUGGACCUGGCCAUGGCCCUGGAGACCACCAAUUCUCUCUGCCGGAAGUCUCUGGCCCUAUUGGGCCAGACCUUCUCCUUGGCUUCUUCCUUCCGGCAAGAGAAGAUCUUGGAGGCCGUGGGCCUCCAAGACAUCGCCCCCUCUCCUGCGUCUUUCCCUAACUUUGAGGACUCCACCUUGUUCGGGAGGGAGUACGUAGACCAUCUGAAGGCCUGGCUGGUGGCCAGUGGCUAUCCUCUUCAAGUCAAGAAGGCCAUGCCGCCAGAGCUGCCCCGACAAGAGAAAACCACACCGAAGUCAUGGUCUGCAAGUGCUUUGAGCCAUGCAGUCCCACAGCGGGCAGAUCACAGGGUGGUGGACACCAUUGAUCAGCUUGUCACACGCAUCAUCCAAGGCAGGCUGUCUCCCAGAGAGAGACUGCUUCUUCUGCAGGACCCUGCUUACUGGUUUCUGUCUGAUGAGAGCAGUCUAGAAUAUAAGUAUUACAAGCUCAAGUUGGCGGAGUCACAGCGGCUGAACCACAGCUGGCCAGUGGUGGAGCGGAGGCCAACGCCAGCACAGUGCGCAGUGCGGGCUAUGCUCUAUGCACAGGCUGUGAGGAGCCUUAAGCGGAGACUGCUCCCAUGGCAGCGCCGGCGGCUGCUUCGUCCCCAAGGGCCACGAGGCCUGAAAGCCAAGAGAGCAGCCACUGUGCCACCCACCCCUCUGUCCUCUGGCACCAGGCGGAGACCACAUGGCCGCCAGGCUGUGGGCUCCUUGCAUGUGAAGCCACCACCGAGGGAUGCAAGUGAUGCUGCCCAGGACUGUCCACCAGAGCCUGCCAGACUCCAUCCUCAGGCCCCCAGCCCUGGAGCUUCUGGCCCAUCUCCCCAGCCAGCACCAGGGGACAACUCUGAAGCCCCGUGGACCUCUCCCUGCCCCACUGCUGACGUGGAUGCAAAGACCAUGGAGACUGCGGAGAAGCUGGCCAGGUUUGUGGCUCAGGUGGGCCCUGAGAUUGAGAAGUUCAGCAUAGAGAACAGCACCGACAACCCCGAUCUCUGGUUCCUGCAUGACCAGAGCAGCUCAGCUUUCAAGUUCUACCGCAAGAAAGUAUUUGAGCUGUGCCCCUCCAUUUCUUUUGAACCCUCAUCCCCUAGUCUUCCUGCUGGUGGCAGCGAGCUAGGGGACUCUGCAGAGAGCCCUGCAGCCCAUGUGCAGGGAGAAGAACCAGAGGAGGGGCACCCGCUGCAGGAGGCUGUGCUGGAGGACCCAGAUGUGCUACCUGAGGAGGAAGAGGAGGAAGAGGAUGAGGACGAGGAGGGUGGAGAGGAGGCCCAUAUCCCCAGGCCAGAAGCAGGAGCCACUAAGUGUCCAGGCUCUGAGGGCAGUUCUCCUGCUGAUAGCACCCCUGGAGAGGGGCCUGAGGAGGACCCUACUGGAGCCCCUUACCUAUCACAGGCCACCUCAGGCAGUUGCUUUCCCCGGAAGAGGAUCAGCAGCAAAUCACUGAAAGUUGGCAUGAUUCCUGCCCCUAAGAGAGUGUGUCUCAUCCAGGAGCCAAAAGUCCAUGAACCAGUUCGAAUUGCCUAUGAUAGGCCUCGGGGUUGCCCCAUAGCCAAAAAGAAGAAACCCAAGGACCUGGAGUUUGCCCAGCAGAAGCUGACUGACAAGAACCUGGGCUUCCAAAUGCUGCAGAAGAUGGGCUGGAAGGAGGGCCGAGGCCUGGGCUCCCUUGGGAAGGGCAUCCGAGAACCUGUCAGUGUGGGAACUCUCUCAGAAGGAGAGGGCCUGGGGGCCGACGGGCCAGAGCAGAAAGAAGACACGUUCGAUGUCUUCCGCCAGCGCAUGAUGCAGAUGUACAGACACAAGCGGGCCAGCAAAUAGAUCAGAGCCACUGUGGACAGAGAUAAGCCUGGAAGCAGCCCUUUCCCUUCCCACCCUGCCUUGGACGCCUGCAGCCCAACCUCGGUGACACCUCAGCCUUAGUACCCGAGACCUGGCUCUCCUGCUGGUCCUUUGCAGCACCCUGCCCUCUUGUCUCUGGAGCUUACCUGGAGCUGCCUAGCCUCUGGCCUGAGGCUCUGAUGGAGCCAGGUGGAUUCCUGCUGUUCUGUGUGUAUCAAUAGCAUCUCAUCAUUUCUGAACAUCCUAAGAGGCCUGUAUAGUAUGCACACCUGUGAGCCAGAGCUCCUCAGGCAGAGGCAGGAGGUCUUUUCAAGUUUGAUGCCAACCUGGUCCUUUAAAAUAAUAUCUUGAGCCAGGUAUAGUGGUUCACGCCUUUAACCCCAGCACUCUGGAGGCAGAGACAGGUAGAUCUGUGAUCGAGGCCAGCCUGGUCUACACAAGGAGUUCAGGCCAGCUGGAACUACAUGGAAACACUGUCGCAAAAGAAAAACAAAAACAUCUUGAGAGAUUUCUCAAAGUCUUAGCGGCACCCCCCCCACCCCAUUUAAUAGAACUGGGGCUUGUGUACUUCACUGUACUUCUAGCUGUCUUGACAUAAAGAAGUUAGAGUGAGGAAACUCCCAGGUGUACAUGUCUCUGACCUCCACAGAAAGUGUACAUAGACCUCCCUGCAGGGGUGCUGUGACAUCCCAGCAUGGUGUGCCAUCUAGUGUCGUUUUGUAAUGCCUCUGGAAGGUAGGGAAGAGUUAUCAGAUGGAGAUAGUUGUCUCAAGGAGGUUGGUUGUGAAACCCUUGCUGUGCCCAGCAGUGGUUGGUGUUUGAAAUGCCUGGGCACAUCCAGAAAGCUUGGUGUCUGCUGGCAUUAGGGCUGGGAACUCUGGUCAUUGAUCAGCCAGGGCAUAGCUGGAAGUUCGGCCUGUGGGCCAUGAGGAUCCUGUUGUCUUAAAGCUCAGCCUUCCCAGGCCGUGCCUGGCUCUACUCUGCUCUCACCCCCGCUGCCCCUAUUUUUCACAGCCAAUGCAGAUCCAGGCCCAGCUGGCUCUUCCUCUUAUGUUGCCUUGGCAACCUGCAGGUCUUAAUGGCUAUGGAGGUCCCACACUCUGGGUCUCUGAUUGGCAGAUGUGCCAGCCUCUAAGAUGAGAGAUGAGAGGUUCAAAGACCCCAGUCUGUAGCUUUUGUCUUUUGGUUUUUUCUUUCCUGACUUUCCAGCAGCUUCAUGUUAGCUAUCGGUUGGGAUGGGGCCCUGGUCCACGAUGGGCUCUUGAGAGGAGCUCUUGACCCCAAGCAAGGUAAAGCUUCAACAUGCUUUACCCCUGCCUCCAGCUUCUCCCCAAGGUGCUGCUCUUUGUGCUAGCCUAUUGGGUCUUUGAAGAAUUGUAGUUAUAUGGCCCUGCUUUGAGUUUCCUGUCACUCCCGGGGUUGAGACUGUUGGGGAGACCAUAGGGGGCUGGCUUGCCAAGCCUAGAGUUCAUGACACUUGUCUAGGCACUCUCCUAUAGAUGGGACAGGCAACAGACGCCCUCUACCAGUCUGCAUGUGCUGCCAUGGCCUCCGCACCCUCUUCCUCCCAAGGCUGGCCUUGGUCUCCAGCCAAGCUGCUCUGCGGGCAGGGGCCUUGGAGGACAUGCAUGCACACUUACAUGCCAUUGUCCCAUCACAGUGUCU